AGCUCUGCCCUUAACAGCUGAAGAUGGAUCAUGAGGUCUUGGUGGGACAAUUUUAAGUGCUGAGUUUUUAGCAGGAAUUAUUUAGAAUUGUGCACUUUGCUACACUACAUUUUUUGGAACUCCCUUUUUUGCCAUUGGGUUAAGUUUAGAAGUUACAUUAGGGUAAAAUUUCCCUAUUCAGUGUGAAGCUUCACGAUUACCUAUCCUGCAAUAGCUGAAGGUGGAUCAUGAGGUCUUGGUGGGAUAAU